rnacentral:misc_RNA from 1 species
GCUGAUAGAUGCAAAGGCUGUCGCUCGAUGCGCGGGAGAUGUCGGAGGCGGUGCGCGACACCCAAUAGGAUGACGCCUGCAUUUCGCUGAUGAUUGCCCCGCCUGCGGGUACGGCCGUAAACCGCCCCCUGAAAUUUUGCCGCUCGUGGGGUUUCAGCGAGAUCGUCACGCCGAAAAGAUUGCGGGCACGUACUUCGCACCAAU